rnacentral:rRNA from 1 species
UACAGAGGGGGCAAGCGUUGUUCGGAUUCACUGGGCGUAAAGGGUGCGUAGGUGGCCAGGUAAGUUUGGUGUGAAAGCUCGGAGCUUAACUCCGAAAAGUCAUUGAAUACUAUCUGGCUGGAGGGUCGGAGGGGAGACUGGAAUUCUCGGUGUAGCAGUGAAAUGCGUAGAUAUCGAGAGGAACACCAGUGGCGAAGGCGAGUCUCUGGACGACUCCUGACACUGAGGCACGAAAGCUAGGGGAGCAAACAGG